rnacentral:rRNA from 1 species
UACGGAGGGGGCUAGCGUUGUUCGGAAUUACUGGGUGUAAAGGGUUCGUAGGCGGUGUGGCAAGUCGGGAGUGAAAUCUCUGGGCUCAACCCAGAGUCUGCUUCCGAAACUGCUGUGCUUGAGUGUGGGAGAGGCGCGUGGAAUUGCAGGUGUAGCGGUGAAAUGCGUAGAUAUCUGCAGGAACACCCGUGGCGAAAGCGGCGCGCUGGACCACUACUGACGCUGAGGCACGAAAGCGUGGGGAGCAAACAGG